rnacentral:pre_miRNA from 1 species
GAGAUACUCCCUCCGUUCGGAAUUACUCGUCCAAGAAAUGAAUGUAUCUAGAUGUAUUUUAGUUGUAGAUACAUCCAUUUUUGUGACAAGUAAUUCCGAACGGAGGGAGUACUUG